rnacentral:rRNA from 1 species
CAAUAGCGUAUAUUAAAGUUGUUGCAGUUAAAAAGCUCGUAGUUGGAUUUCGGGGCAGCCUGGCUGGUCCGCCGCAAGGCGAGUACUGGUCAGCCGCCCUUCCUCUCGAAAGCCCCGACUGCUCUUUAUUGCAGUGGUCGGGUAGUUCGGGACGUUUACUUUGAAAAAAUUAGAGUGUUCAAGGCAGGCCUACGCCUGAAUACAUUAGCAUGGAAUAAUGGAAGAGGACCUCGGUCCUAUUUUGUUGGUUUCCAGGACCGAAGUAAUGAUUAAGAGGGACAGUUGGGGGCAUUCGUAUUUAAUUGUCAGAGGUGAAAUUCCCGGAUUUAUGAAAGACGAACAACUGCGAAAGCAUUUGCCAAGGAUGUUUUCAUUAA